UGAAGAUGGAUGAAGAUAGCUGUUUCUUCGGCGAUGGCGGCACUCUAGCUACGUUUCACCGGAAGAGUAGAUGUUUACGAUUCUGGCUGUAUUCUGGAGCGUUUCCUCAUGGGCGUCGCAGUUCACACACGUCACGGAUUCCGCCGAAGGAGUCGAUAAUUAAAACUGAACUUUUGGAUCGGAUAUAUGAAGACGCGCGCUGCAUUUUCCUUGACGGAGACGCACAGCUCUGACACUAGACAAUAUUAUACACUCAAAGGGACCGCGUUUCGCCGGAAGAAUAAAUAAUUACAAAUGGUAUUCGUCAGUGAACAUUUUCAAACUGGGAAUAAUAUAUCAUAAGCAGAUUGAAAUGUGUGAACGUUUCAGUGUUUCGAAGGCUAAGUUUCGUAGCAGAUUUUGAUUCCGUCACGGGGUA